UUUUACGACAGCGUCGCAGCUCUGCCCACCCGCCGGCUGCCGCGCCUCACGGCGGCGCGGCGACGAUGGCGUCUCCGUUCAGCGGGGUGCUGCAGCUGACGGACCUGGACGACUACAUCGGGCCCUCGCAGGAAUGUGUCAAACCUGUAAAGGUGGAAAAAAAGCCUGGGAAAGCAGCAGCUAAGAUCAAAAUCGAAGCCGAUGGGAGCUAUUUUCAGAUCACUCAGGAUGGAGGAGCACAGAAACUGGAGAAGGCUAAAAUUACUCUGAAUGACUGUUUAGCUUGCAGUGGCUGCAUUACAUCAGCAGAAAGUGUCUUAAUCACUCAACAGAGCCAUGAAGAGUUCUACAAAACUCUAUCUUUUAACAAGACUGCAGCUCCCAGUGAACAGAAGUUGGUGGUGGUUUCUGUUUCACCACAGUCCAGGGCUUCAUUAGCUGCAAAAUGUAAAAUGAGUGUUCUGGAAACAGCAAAGAAGUUGACUGCGUUCUUAAAGAGUCAAGGUGUGCACUACGUGUUUGACACAACUUUCUCAAGAAACUUCAGCCUGCUGGAGAGCCAAAAAGAGUUUGUAAAACGCUUUCGAAAGCAAUCUGAAGACAAAAAGGCUUUGCCAAUGCUAGCUUCUGCCUGUCCAGGUUGGAUCUGCUAUGCAGAGAAAACCCAUGGCAGUUUCAUCAUUCCUUACAUCAGCACCACUAAGUCUCCACAGCAGAUCAUGGGCUCCUUGAUAAAGGGCCAUUUUGCAGAGCAGCAGCACUUAACACCUAAUAAGAUAUACCACGUAACAGUGAUGCCCUGCUAUGACAAGAAGCUGGAGGCUUCAAGGCCAGACUUCUUCAACCAAGAGUUCCAGACCCGUGAUGUGGAUUGUGUGAUCACCACAGGAGAAGUGCUGAAGUUGUUGGAACAAGAAAAAGUGUCUCUCUCAGAUGUAGAUCCUGCUCCUUUGGAUACCAUGUUUAAUAGUGCCACAGAGGAGGAACUCACUGGCCACUCAGGAGGUGGCUCUGGUGGCUAUUUGGAGCACAUAUACAAGUAUGCAGCCAAGGAACUCUUUGGCAUUGAAGUGGAUACAAUUCAGUACAAGCCUUUAAAAAACAAGGACUUCCAAGAGGUGACACUGGAGAAGGAUGGAGCAGUUCUGCUCCAGUUUGCUCUGGCAUACGGGUUUCGAAACAUACAAAACUUAGUGCAGAAGUUGAAGCGGGGGAAGUCACCCUAUCACUACGUGGAAGUCAUGGCCUGCCCAUCAGGUUGUUUAAAUGGAGGCGGCCAGAUCAAAGUGGAAGGUGAACCUAGCAAGGACUGGCUUCAGCAAGUUGAGAAGCUGUAUGAGUCUCUUAAGACUGAAAUUCCAGAGGAGAACCGGACUGUAACUGCUCUGUAUGAGCAGUGGCUGGGUGGCACUGAGUCUGAAAAGGCAGGGAAAGCUCUGCAUACAGAAUACCAUGCCGUGGAAAAAGCAAGCACUGGAUUUAACAUCAAGUGGUGAAGGCUGAUGCUGGAAGCAGACUGUGAAGCCUGAAUAUUCUUAGUGCCUUUUAAGUUGAUUCUAUUUACGAUUCUCAAGAGACAGCCACAGUUCUGUGCCAUCACUGGGGAACUGCAGUUUCUCACUCUCAGUCAGGGAGAAGUUACUGCUAUGUGGGGAAGAACGACUGCAGGAAGUAAAAUGGAUGAAAACUGAACGCAAAGCAGCCACUUUGCUUUGCUCUUUCAGAACAGACAUGGAGCUGGUUACUGCACGUAGCCCAGACUCAAACCUUGGCCAGGCUCUCUUCAGAGAUAACCCUCACUGUUCCUGCAGACCUUGUGCUUAGGGCUGUCAAGAAGCAAAACUGUCAGACCUUAACCUGCCUCAUUUAACAGCUUCCCUGGCAGCCCUUCCCUGCAUCCUCCUUCAAUCUUCAUUAAAAAUGAGCCAACAGUGUAAAAGAUAAUUGUAAUGGUUUUAAUUAAAGGCUUUACAUACUUCAGGUGUUGCUGAUCAAGCAGUAGAUUCACAGUGUUCAUAAGGCAGAAAUCUCCCUCUGCUCCCCCAUCCCUUCCCCGCUCAUUUUGCAAGCAGUGGUUGUGCUCAAUGCCCUUUUCCAUGCGUAGUUCUGUAAGGCUGUUAUGCUAAACCAUAACAUUGUUCUGUACAGCAAGAGAGAGAUGCCAAACUAAGUGCCGAAUCCAUAAACUUUAUACAUCAGUGCAAAAGAAACACAUUCUGUUUCUACUGAGAACAUGCACAUCUAGACAGAAGUGCACAAUUAAGUACAGCUGAAUGAGCUGCAGGUUAAACAACCAAGGAUCCACAUUUUGCCUUCUCCAGUGACCAGUCCAGAAUAGCACAGUACUGAAGCUGUCAGAGGACUCUCCACCCAGAGCACCCCAUGCAGCUCUCCCAGGUAUUCGUUGUCACCAUGGCAUCAAGAAUAGCUUAGAUUUCACCUCUGAGCUGCACACAGCUGCUGCCAACAUGAGCAAGUCCAGUGCUGGGCCAGGAUCCCUCCAGGCAUCCCAGUGCUGCUCACAGCAAAGCACCCAGGCUGCCCAAUGACACUUGGCAUCGCCUGCAGCUGCACCCUUAGGGCAUCUCUGAAACAACAGCACUGAGGCAACUUGUGCAGCAGGGCUGAUUCUCCCCCUCCUGGAGGGAAGUGUAAAUUUUAACAACGUAACAUUAAAAAAAAAAAAAAGCAAAAAAGAAAAC